rnacentral:rRNA from 1 species
GGCUCCAGCUUGCUGGGGUACACGAGUGGCGAACGGGUGAGGUAACACGUGGGUGACCUGCCCUGCACUUCGGGAUAAGCCUGGGAAACUGGGUCUAAUACCGGAUAGGACCGCACCGUGAGUGGUGUGGUGGAAAGUUUUUUCGGUGUGGGAUGGGCCCGCGGCCUAUCAGCUUGUUGGUGGGGUAAUGGCCUACCAAGGCGGCGACGGGUAGCCGGCCUGAGAGGGUGGACGGCCACAUUGGGACUGAGACACGGCCCAGACUCCUACGGGAGGCAGCAGUGGGGAAUAUUGCACAAUGGGCGGAAGCCUGAUGCAGCGACGCCGCUGGGGGAUGACGGCCUUCGGGUUGUAAACUCCUUUCACCGUCGACGAAGGGUUUCUGACGGUAGAUGGAGAAGAAGCGCCGGCUAACUACGUGCCAGCAGCCGCGGUAAUACGUAGGGUGCGAGCGUUGUCCGGAAUUACUGGGCGUAAAGAGCUCGUAGGUGGUUUGUCGCGUCGUCUGUGAAAUUCCGGGGCUUAACUCCGGGCGUGCAGGCGAUACGGGCAUAACUUGAGUACUGUAGGGGAGACUGGAAUUCCUGGUGUAGCCGGUGAAAUGCGCAGAUAUCAGGAGGAACACCGGUGGCGAAGGCGGGUCUCUGGGCAGUAACUGACGCUGAGGAGCGAAAGCAUGGGGAGCGAACAGGAUUAGAUACCCUGGUAGUCCAUGCUGUAAACGGUGGGCGCUAGGUGUGGGUUUCCUUCCACGGGAUCCGUGCCGUAGCUAACGCAUUAAGCGCCCCGCCUGGGAGUACGCCGCAAGGC